AGGAUUUUGAAAUCUUGACAUUUUUCACAGGAUGGGAGAGUCUGUUUCUGGACCAGCUCUAUGGACAAAGGAAGAGCGGGAAACAGAAAGAAAGAGACAGAUCUCUUUAAACUGAAAGAAAAUUGUAAUGCUCUCCCUGACUGUAGAGUGUAUGCUGGGAAAUCCUGUGGUGUGAUCUUUAUGUACUGCCCAGCGGAAGGUACCUUCAUGUGGGGAAGAUGCAGAUUAACAGGCUUGGAAUGUAUUGGAGGAGAAGCAGCAUCUGAUGUUGUCUGUAUCCAGAUGGGCAGCAUGACCUUUAGAAUGAGAGAGGUUUCAUAAGAUGGUCCCUGCACUCCUGCUACAUAUGGCCCUUGCCGUCUCUUCAAGUUUUCUGGUCAGGAAUCUCACCUUAAUCACUGUCUUUGGGUUGGGGCUUUUUAGGUAGCUCCUGCCUCAGCAUGGCUGCUCCCCCACCUGCAGAACUCGAGCAGAGCCUUAACGACCAUCUCUCCUCUUCUUUUGAGCCCACGCUGGACCUCAAGGCAGACAAAGCUACAUUACUUCCAGGCUCUGGAGUCAGUGACAUACCCCCAGAUGGGCAUGGAUGUGAGGAGGAGCUCGGCACAGGAGCAGGCGGUUCCAGACACGAUGGGGUUUGCAAACCUGAAGUGCCAGCAGCAGACAGUGCCCCAGCGGUGACAGAAGAACCAAACCCAACCGUGGAGGCACACAAGGACUCGGCUGGCAUGGACAGCAGCUACGACUUUUCGACCUCCAGCUUGGACAGCCGUUGUGAACCUGACCUGGUUCCGGUCACUGGAGACUCUCUCCCUGACAAAGGUCCCCAGUCGGAGGAUGGUGACCCCGGCUCCACAGCUUCCUUGCCCUGGCCAGAGUUGCCAGAUGAAUGUCCGCCUCGGCCUAACACCCUGGAUUUCUCCAACUCUCUCAAAUUCCUGGAGGAGGUGAAGCAGAUGGGGCAGAGGAGGAACAGUGACCACUUGAACAUCCAGGAGAAUGGGGUGGAGAGCUGCCCUGAGGCACCUCCCAUCAGUGAGGAGAGGAGGGCUCUGGAGUCGGAGCUGGGGAAGUGCAUCGAAGACUUCAGGAAGAUCAAGAUCCCCGUCUCCUUCCCCAACAAGAAGCGGCAGUGGCAAAGUGAACUACUGAAAAAAUACCACGUCUGAGGGGAGGGGCUGGGACUGACGCCUCCCACCACCCAGGACUGACUGGCUUCCACAGCCACAAGAGGCACCUUCCCCUGCAUCCUGUCCAUGAUGGGCCAGCCUGCCAGGUGCUGGGUGUCCUUGGCCCCCAUUGAUGGCCAGGAGCAGCUCAGCAUCUUGUAGGCCAAGAGGGACUUGUGAGAGCCUCUUACUUUAAACCAGUUAUUUGGCGACACUGGGACUAACUGAUUUGCAUCCUGUCUGAUCUCGUUGACUUUACCUAGGUCACUCAGGGGUAAUCGACAACAGGGUUUGGUCCAUGUAUUCAAAACUAAGAGCAGUGGUUUCUUGGUCAAUGCAUCAUUCCAGGAAUUGGUGCUCCACAGGCAGAGAUUAUAAGGCUACAGCUUGCUUGUUCCCAGGGGAGUCAAGGGUGAAAUGUGCAUGAAAGGAGCUGUACAAAUCCUAGAAGUGAAAAUAUUUGAAGGAGUCAGGAUGGGAAGGAGGAAACUGAUGUUGGUUCAGGUUGUCUGUAGGGACAAACCUACACCCAAGCAAUAUGGACAUUCCUGCCUUUAUGACAGCAUGACUGUGAUUGGAGCUCCCGGGGUUAAUAAAUGUAAACAAUGAUGAAACCUAAUUCCA
rnacentral:lncRNA from 1 species